rnacentral:rRNA from 1 species
CGAGAAUAAUUCACAAUGGGGGAAACCCUGAUGGUGCAACGCCGCGUGGAGGAUGAAGGUCUUCGGAUUGUAAACUCCUGUUAUCUGGGAGUAAGACCUGGGCGUGAAUAGCGCACAGGGUUGAUAGUACCAGAAGAGGAAGGGACGGCUAACUUCGUGCCAGCAGCCGCGGUAAUACGAAGGGGGCUAGCGUUGUUCGGAAUUACUGGGCGUAAAGCGCGCGCAGGCGGUUCUUCAAGUCAGAGGUGAAAGCCCAGAGCUCAACUCUGGAAUGGCCUUUGAGACUAGAGAACUAGGGUACGGGAGAGGUGAGUGGAAUUCCGAGUGUAGAGGUGAAAUUCGUAGAUAUUCGGAAGAACACCAGUGGCGAAGGCGGCUCACUGGCCCGUUACCGACGCUCAGGCGCGACAGCGUGGGGAGCAAA